rnacentral:lncRNA from 1 species
UUAAAUUUGACGAAAAGGAUGCAUCAAUAUUACAUUUGAAUCGUCCCAGAGUCGGCCUUUUCCAAUAAACAGCAGCAGAAUCUAUUUGUGCCGCGGUCGCAUUAUGCAAAGCACCAAGUGGUAUCAGAGAUUUGAUACAGGCGAACCUGCAAAAUCUGAAAGGAUUUGCCGAGUCAUUGAAGGUCCAAUCAAGAAGCUUAAAAUUCUUUUCUAUUUCAACAUUAAUAAUGAAAUUGCAUUUAGGCCAACAAUUUAGGGGUUUGAGGCUCAAAUAUCAAAUUUUGCAUUCAAACUCAUCAUGAGACAUAUGCUCAAUUUCGCAUCUAAGGUAACCAAAAGCACACUACCAUCAUGCCAAUUUAUCACUAUUAAGAAAACAUCAUAGAGUCACUGUAUCAAGAGUGGUCUCAACAUGCAUAUCAAGUUAUGAAUAAAAAUUCAUAAUAAAAUUGAAUCUAGGGUCAUCAAAGGACAUAUGUUCAAUUUUCGCAUCUAAGGUCACUCAACGUGAAAUCAUCAUCCCAAUUUACUAUUACGAAAAAGCAUAGUAUAGCCAUCGUUUCAAGGGUCACAUAUUCAAGUUAGGGACACAGAGGGACAUAUCUUCAAGUUAGUCAUCUCGACUUGCAUUUAAAGUUAUGAAUAAGCAUUCACAUUGAAAUUCCAUUCAGACAAUCAAUCUAGGGACAUCAAGGGACAUAUACUCAAUUUCGCAUCAAAGGCACGAAGGCACACAACCCUCUUCACAAUAUACCGUAAUAAGAAAAUCAUUAUCAACUUGCAUUUUGAAUAAACAUUCAUAUUUCAAAUUACAUUUAGACCCUCAAAAUUUUCAUGUAUACCAUCCUGAUUUCAUAUGAAUAAAGAAUUCAUAUUGUAAGCCACAUAUUUGGUCAAAAAAUUCAUCUCAUUGGGUCAUCCAAACACAAUAUCCCAUGACUUGUCUUAAGAAUUUUUUUAGCAACAACACAAUUUCUUAGGCCAAAUUACCUUCUUAGGUAUGAAAAAUCAAGAUUCGCCAAUUUACCACACUCUUGGAUGAUACAAAAAACUACCCAAAACAACAGCUAUGUCAAACAAUAGUUUGAAGAAUCUGUUACUUCAUGAAAGACAAAAGUGAGUCAAAUCAAUUAAAAAAAAAUCCAAAAGAUACAGGAUAAAAUUUGAAACAAAGAUGUAGAAGUGAUAAAAAUCACAAGAACUCAAAGUGAUACAAGCAACACUGCUAAACUUGAAAGGGUUUGCAGAGUCAUUGAAGGUCCAAUCAAGAAGCUUAAAAUUCUUUUCUAUUUCUACAUUAAUAGCCAACAAUUAGGGGUUAUAAGGCUCAAAUAUAGAAUGCAGUCAUCAAGCGACAUAAACUCAAUUUCACAUAUAAGGUAACCAAAAGCACACUACCAUCAUGCCAAUUUAUCAUUAUUAGAAAAGCAUCAUAAAAGUCAUUCUAUCAAAGGUCGUCUCGACAUGCAUAUCAAAUUUUGAAGCUUAUGUAUAUAACUUCAAUCUAGUUUCUUGUGUUAUAUAGUUUAUUAACCCACAAAUCUUGCUGCAUUGCUGAAGAGCAAUCUAUUUUCUAUUUCAUUAUCAUGAAUCAUUUCCUGCUUUGAUUAGCAAACUCAAUUGUGUUAUAUAGUUUAUUAACCCACAAAUCUUGCUGCAUUGCUGAAGAGCAAUCUAUUUUCUAUUUCAUUAUCAUGAAUCAUUUCCUGCUUUGAUUAGAAAACUCAAUUGUGCUUUACAUUGCUUUUGAUAAAACAAAUAGAUGGCUAGCUAGUACUAAUUUACUUCUGUUAAUAGCUUUUAUCAAUGAGCACAGAGUAUAACUCAUUUUGGACUGGUUGUAGACUUCAUUUCUUUGUAGUCUCUUUGGAGAUUGAAAUGAAUGGUACUUUGGUUCUGGGAUCGGCUCAAUUUAUAUGGAACUAGGCAUCAGUUUUAAGGUUAAUUGCAAAUUUAUGAUUGUAAAAUUGCCAUUUCUGGUACUUAACGCCUGGUUUGCAAUCAUUGCAUAGAAAUGGAGUGAGUUUGGUAUAUUUUUAGAUAUACUGUUGAUUGCUAAGCGAUCAAGUGGCUGAAGUGUUUUGGAGGUUGUUAUCAACUUCUGCAUGCUAGUAAAGUUCUUUUCAUGGGAUUGACUCACUAAUUUGAAGGCCCUGACUCAGGGGAAUGGUCGACUAACAACUCAUGUUGUUCAUAUCUUCUGUUAUUGGCCUUUUUAAGCAAUCUAACCUUCAUCAUAAAAUAUCUGUUUAUAGCUUUUCCUAUUAAAGAAUUGAGUUUUGAAAUAUUAAAAGCUCUUAUAACCUGCUGUAGCAAGUCAAACUGGUGGUACACCAGUACACUGCAUCUAAAGUUCUGCUGCACCAUAUCCACGUAGGCGGUGACCUGG